CCCUUAGAUGUUCUGGGCUGCACGCGCGCUACACUGAAGCUAUCAACACGUUUUCCCUCCCUGAGAAGGGCGGGUAACCUUUUGAAUCAGCUUCGUGGUAGGGAUCGGGGCUUGCAAUUGUUCCCCGUGAACCAGGAAUUCCUAGUAGACGCGAGUCAUAAGCUCGCAUCGAUUAAGUCCCUGCCCUUUGUACACACCGCCCGUCGCUACUACCGAUUGAACGUUUUAGUGAGGCAUUUGGACCGACGCAUCUCAGUUUAACCGCUGGUUUGUGUUGGAAAGACUUCCAAACUUGAGCGUUUAGAGUAAGUAAAAGUCGUAACA
rnacentral:rRNA from 1 species